GGCCCGUUGGUGAAGCGACUUAACACACUGCCCUCUCAAGGCAGCAUUCAUCGGUUUGAAUCCGAUACGGGUCACCA
rnacentral:tRNA from 1 species